rnacentral:rRNA from 1 species
GAUGAACGCUGGCGGCGUGCUUAAUACAUGCAAGUCGAACGGAAAGGCGCUGCGUUUGUUGGGUGGUUGAGUGGGGAACGGGUGAGUAACACGUGUGUAAAAUGCCCUUGUCUUUGGGAUAAAUUCAGGAAAAUGGGGCUAAUAUCGGGUAGGAUAUUCUGCUGCAUGGUGGGGGUUGGAAAGUUUCGGCGGUUGGGGCUGGUCUCGCGGCUUAUCAGCUUGUUGGUGGAGUAGUGGAUUACCAAGGUUUUGACGGGUAGGCGGCCUGAGAGGGUGACCGGCCACAUGAGGACUGAGAUACGGCCCAGACUGCUACGUGAGGCAGCAGUGGAGAAUAUUGCACAAUGGGCGGAAGCCUGAUGCAGCAACGCCGCGUGCGGGAUGACGGCCUUCGGGUGGUAAACCUCUUUCGCCUGUGACGAAGCGUGAGUGACGGUAAUGAAUAAAGAAGCACCGGCUAACUACGUG